rnacentral:tRNA from 1 species
CCUUCGAUAGCUCAGUUGGUAGAGCGGUGGACUGUAGAAAAGUUGCGAAAGAAAAUCAGCCUAGAAAUGCGCGCAUUUGUUGUUGAUCACUUUCAAACAAUAGAGAGAAAUCCAUAGGUCACUGGUUCAAAUCCGGUUCGAAGGA